GCUGUCGUCAGCUCGUGUCGUGAGAUGUUGGUUAAGUCCCGCAACGAGCGCAACCCUUGUCCUAUGUUGCCAGCGGGUAAUGCCGGGGACUCGUAGNAGACUGCCGGGGUCAACUCGGAGGAAGGUGGGGACGACGUCAAGUCAUCAUGCCCCUUACGUCCAGGGCUGCACACAUGCUACAAUGGCAGGUACAACGGGCUGCUAAUCCGCGAGGAGGAGCCAAUCCCCAAAGCCUGUCUCAGUUCGGAUCGGAGUCUGCAACUCGACCCCGUGAAGUCGGAGUCGCUAGUAAUCCCGGAUCAGCAACGCCGGGGUGAAUACGUUCCCGGGCCUUGUACACACCGCCCGUCACACCACGAAAGUCGGUAACGCCCGAAGCCAGUGGCCCAACCUUUA
rnacentral:rRNA from 1 species